rnacentral:lncRNA from 1 species
GUAUGCUGAGACCUUUCUUCCUGGGACCGCCUUGCACCCUCCAGGGUCCCCUAUUGGCAGAGCCUAUCCUGGAAACAGCUGACGGAACAGAAAUAGGGUGGGCCCCAAUGCCAGCCCCAGCGUCACCAGACGGCACAUACAGGGAUAGGUUUGGGGACAAGGGCUGAUAGCUUCAGAACUGGCUAUACUCCAGUGCCCCUUCAGACAAUUGGUGAAGGGCCAUUAAACAGAAAAAAAAAAAAGUUGGUGAGGAAGAAAAAGGCUCAAUUAAAAAGCUCCAAAUAUGACCCUGCUCUACUACUGUGAACUGAGUACUAUGUGCUUGGAUGUGUUAAGGACGGAGGCCAUUGCCAUGUGAAGAAGAUCACAGUUCUGAGUGUGAAUACUGCCAGCCCAGAAGAGAACAUUCAUGCUGGAUGCAGUGGCUCACACCUGUAAUCCCAG